rnacentral:rRNA from 1 species
UGCCAGCAGCCGCGGUAAUACGAGGGGUGCAAGCGUUAAUCGGAAUUACUGGGCGUAAAGCGUACGCAGGCGGUUUUUUAAGCCAGAUGUGAAAGCCCCGGGCUCAACCUGGGAAUAGCAUUUGGAACUGGGGAACUAGAGUCUUGUAGAGGGGGGUAGAAUUUCAGGUGUAGCGGUGAAAUGCGUAGAGAUCUGAAGGAAUACCGGUGGCGAAGGCAUUCUGCUGGUCAUUACCUGACGCUGAGGGACGAAAGCGUGGGGAGCGAACGGGAUUAGAUA